GCAUUGUGAUCUUGUGAUGUCGCAUUCUUUAAGAGGAAAUGAUGUCAUAUGUCACGCCUCUUAUACUCUAUACUGCAUUGUGAUUGGUUCUCAGUUUUGUCACUCUUUUCUUUGCUGCUAUGGAGUUAGUAAAGAAAGAUUAUGCAAAAUACUCGCCUCCUGUCAUUAUUAAAAUUAAAAUUAUCGGUACACUAAAGCUAACAUAAUCUUCAAUUUAU